CUGCAAUACAUUCUAUAGUUCUUGAGGGAGAGAUUGUGUGUUUGGCUUGAGGUCCCAGAGUUUCGUACGGAAAUGCUUUGGUCUGCCUUGAAGUCACUGGGAACUAAAAGAUCUUUUACGGUUUUAUUUGCUGAAUAAAUAAAACCAUAUUUAUUCAGCAUUUUGAUUGAAAAUGUGGUUGUUAUUUAUUUUAUUUUCUGUAUUAACCCCAUUGCUGGGGACAUUGUUCUGAAUUCUAAUGGAAUUCAUAAAUAAAUGGAAUCUGCAGUAAAA